rnacentral:rRNA from 2 species
AGCAUGUGGUUUAAUUCGAAGCAACGCGAAGAACCUUACCAAAUCUUGACAUCCUUUGACCGCUCUAGAGAUAGAGUCUUCCCCUUCGGGGGACAAAGUGACAGGUGGUGCAUGGUUGUCGUCAGCUCGUGUCGUGAGAUGUUGGGUUAAGUCCCGCAACGAGCGCAACCCUUAAGCUUAGUUGCCAUCAUUAAGUUGGGCACUCUAGGUUGACUGCCGGUGACAAACCGGAGGAAGGUGGGGAUGACGUCAAAUCAUCAUGCCCCUUAUGAUUUGGGCUACACACGUGCUACAAUGGAUAAUACAAAGGGCAGCGAAUCCGCGAGGCCAAGCAAAUCCCAUAAAAUUAUUCUCAGUUCGGAUUGUAGUCUGCAACUCGACUACAUGAAGCUGGAAU